GACAGAGGGUGCUAGCGUUGUUCGGAAUUACUGGGCGUAAAGGGCGCGUAGGCGGUCCGCUAAGUUCGGCGUGAAAUCCCCUGGCUCAACUGGGGAACUGCGCUGGAUACUGGUGGACUCGAGUACCGGAGAGGAGAGUGGAAUUCCUGGUGUAGCGGUGAAAUGCGUAGAUAUCAGGAGGAAGACCGGUGGCGAAGGCGGCUCUCUGGACGGAUACUGACGCUGAGGCGCGAAAGCGUGGGGAUCAAACAGG
rnacentral:rRNA from 1 species